GACGAACGCUGGCGGCGUGCUUAACACAUGCAAGUCGAACGCUGAACCCGCUUCGGUGGGGGAUGAGUGGCGAACGGGUGAGUAACACGUGGGCAACCUGCCCCCGGCUCUGGGAUAACUCCAAGAAAUUGGGGCUAAUACCGGAUGUGACCGCUGGCUGCAUGGUCUGGUGGUGGAAAGGGUUUCCGGCUGGGGAUGGGCCCGCGGCCGGUCAGCUUGUUGGUGGGGUAGUGGCCUACCAAGGCGACGACGGGUAGCCGGCCUGAGAGGGUGACCGGCCCCAUGGGGCUGGGGAAAGGGCCCAGGCUCGUAGGGGGGGAAGGAGGGGGGAAUAUGGGGCAGGGGGCGGAAGCCUGACGAAGCGCGGCCGGGGGGGGGAGGAGGGCCUUGGGGUGGAAAACCUGUUUCAGAAGGGAAGAAGGGCAAGUGAGGGUACCGGCAAAAGAAGCACCGGCCAACUGGGG
rnacentral:rRNA from 1 species